AAACGCCUGAUGCAGCAACGCCGCGUGAGUGAUGAAGGUUUUUCGGAUCGUAAAACUCUGUCCUCAAGGAAGAUAAUGACGGUACUUGAGGAGGAAGCCCCGGCUAACUACGUGCCAGCAGCCGCGGUAAUACGUAGGGGGCUAGCGUUAUCCGGAUUUACUGGGCGUAAAGGGUGCGUAGGCGGUCUUUCAAGUCAGAAGUUAAAUUCUACGGCUCAACCGUAGCCAGCUUUUGAAACUGGAAGACUUGAGUGCAGGAGAGGAGAGUAGAAUUCCUAGUGUAGCGGUGAAAUGCGUAGAUAUUAGGAGGAAUACCAGCUUGCGAAGGCGGCUCUCUGGACUGUAACUGACGCUGAGGCACGAAAGCGUGGGGAGCGAACAGGAUUAGAUACCCUGGUAGUCCACGCCGUAAACGAUGAGUACUAGGUGUCGGGGGGUUACCCCCCUCGG
rnacentral:rRNA from 1 species